rnacentral:rRNA from 1 species
CAAUACUUAGUGGCAGACGGGUGAGUAACAUGUAGGUAUCUGCCCUUUGGCCUGGAAUAACACGAGGAAACUUGUGCUAAUACUGGGUAAGUCUUUACGGAGAAAGCUUUAUGCACCAUUGGAUGAGCCUGCACUUGAUUAGUUUGUUGGUGGGGUAAUGGCCUACCAAGACUGUGAUCAAUAGCUGAUUUGAGAGGAUGAUCAGCCACAUUGGGACUGAGACACGGCCCAAACUCCUACGGGAGGCAGCAGUGGGGAAUCUUGCACAAUGGAGGAAACUCUGAUGCAGCGAUGCCGCGUGAGUGAAGAAGGCCCUUGGGUUGUAAAGCUCUUUCGUCGGGGAAGAAAAUGACUGUACCCGAAUAAGAAGGUCCGGCUAACUUCGUGCCAGCAGCCGCGGUAAUACGAAGGGACCUAGCGUAGUUCGGAAUUACUGGGCUUAAAGAGUUCGUAGGUGGUUGAAAAAGUUGGUGGUGAAAUCCCAGAGCUUAACUCUGGAACUGCCAUCAAAACUUUUCAGCUAGAGUAUGAUAGAGGAAAGCAGAAUUUCUAGUGUAGAGGUGAAAUUCGUAGAUAUUAGAAAGAAUACCAAUUGCGAAGGCAGCUUUCUGGAUCAUUACUGACACUGAGGAACGAAAGCAUGGGUAGCGAAGAGGAUUAGAUACCCUCGUAGUCCAUGCCGUAAACGAUGUGUGUUAGACGUUGGAAAUUUAUUUUCAGUGUCGCAGCGAAAGCGAUAAACACACCGCCUGGGGAGUACGACCGCAAGGUUAAACUCAAAUGAAUUGACGGGGACCCGCACAAGUAGUGG